UACGUAGGGUGCGAGCGUUAAUCGGAAUUACUGGGCGUAAAGCGUGCGCAGGCGGCGCGUUAAGACAGGUGUGAAAGCCCCGAGCUUAACUUGGGAAUUGCGCUUGUGACUGGCGUGCUGGAGUGUGGCAGAGGGAGGUGGAAUUCCACGUGUAGCAGUGAAAUGCGUAGAGAUGUGGAGGAACACCGAUGGCGAAGGCAGCCUCCUGGGGCCAGCACUGACGCUCAUGCACGAAAAGCGUGGGGGAGCAAACAGG
rnacentral:rRNA from 1 species